GAUGAACGCUGGCGGCGUGCUUAACACAUGCAAGUCGAACGGAAAGGCCCUGCUUUUGUGGGGUGCUCGAGUGGCGAACGGGUGAGUAACACGUGAGUAACCUGCCCUUGACUUUGGGAUAACUUCAGGAAACUGGGGCUAAUACCGGAUAGGAGCUCCUGCUGCAUGGUGGGGGUUGGAAAGUUUCGGCGGUUGGGGAUGGACUCGCGGCUUAUCAGCUUGUUGGUGGGGUAGUGGCUUACCAAGGCUUUGACGGGUAGCCGGCCUGAGAGGGUGACCGGCCACAUGGGGACUGAGAUACGGCCCAGACUCCUACGGGAGGCAGCAGUGGGGAAUAUUGCACAAUGGGCGGAAGCCUGAUGCAGCAACGCCGCGUGCGGGAUGACGGCCUUCGGGUUGUAAACCGCUUUCGCCUGUGACGAAGCGUGAGUGACGGUAAUGGGUAAAGAAGCACCGGCUAACUACGUG
rnacentral:rRNA from 1 species